CCCUGGCUCAGGACGAACGCUGGCGGCGUGCCUAAUACAUGCAAGUCGAGCGGAUCUUGUCCUUCGGGACAAGGUUAGCGGCGGACGGGUGAGUAACACGUGGGUAACCUGCCUGUAAGACUGGGAUAACAUUCGGAAACGAAUGCUAAUACCGGAUACGCAGCUUGGUCGCAUGACCGAGCUGGGAAAGAUGGAGCAAUCUAUCACUUAUAGAUGGACCCGCGGCGCAUUAGCUAGUUGGUGAGGUAACGGCUCACCAAGGCGACGAUGCGUAGCCGACCUGAGAGGGUGAUCGGCCACACUGGGACUGAGACACGGCCCAGACUCCUACGGGAGGCAGCAGUAGGGAAUCUUCCGCAAUGGACGAAAGUCUGACGGAGCAACGCCGCGUGAGUGAUGAAGGUUUUCGGAUCGUAAAGCUCUGUUGCCAGGGAAGAAUGCUUGGGAGAGUAACUGCUCCCAAGGUGACGGUACCUGAGAAGAAAGCCCCGGCUAACUA
rnacentral:rRNA from 1 species